CACGUAGGGUGCGAGCGUUGUCCGGAAUUAUUGGGCGUAAAGAGCUCGUAGGCGGUGUGUCGCGUCGGCCGUGAAAACUUGCAGCUUAACUGUGGGCGUGCGGUCGAUACGGGCAUCACUGGAGUUCGGCAGGGGAGACUGGAAUUCCUGGUGUAGCGGUGAAAUGCGCAGAUAUCAGGAGGAACACCGGUGGCGAAGGCGGGUCUCUGGGCCGAUACUGACGCUGAGGAGCGAAAGCGCGGGGAGCGAACAGG
rnacentral:rRNA from 1 species